AUUGAACGCUGGCGGCAGGCCUAACACAUGCAAGUCGAGCGGAUGAAGGGAGCUUGCUCCUGGAUUCAGCGGCGGACGGGUGAGUAAUGCCUAGGAAUCUGCCUGGUAGUGGGGGAUAACGUCCGGAAACGGGCGCUAAUACCGCAUACGUCCUGAGGGAGAAAGUGGGGGAUCUUCGGACCUCACGCUAUCAGAUGAGCCUAGGUCGGAUUAGCUAGUUGGUGGGGUAAAGGCCUACCAAGGCGACGAUCCGUAACUGGUCUGAGAGGAUGAUCAGUCACACUGGAACUGAGACACGGUCCAGACUCCUACGGGAGGCAGCAGCGGGGAAUAUUGGACAAUGGGCGAAAGCCUGAUCCAGCCAUGCCGCGUGUGUGAAGAAGGUCUUCGGAUUGUAAAGCACUUUAAGUUGGGAGGAAGGGCAGUAAGUUAAUACCUUGCUGUUUUGACGUUACCAACAGAAUAAGCACCGGCUAACUUCGU
rnacentral:rRNA from 1 species